rnacentral:rRNA from 1 species
UACGAAGGGUGCGAGCGUUGUUCGGAAUUACUGGGCGUAAAGGGUUCGUAGGCGGGAAGAUAAGUUGAGUGUGAAAACCCCGGGCUUAACCUGGGACGUGCAUUCAAAACUGUUUUUCUUGAGUAUCGGAGAGGGUUGUGGAAUUGCUGGUGUAGGAGUGAAAUCCGUAGAGAUCAGCAGGAACACCUGAGGCGAAAGCGACAACCUGGUCGAAUACUGACGCUGAGGAACGAAAGCGUGGGGAGCAAACAGG